rnacentral:rRNA from 2 species
AAACUUUCAACAACGGAUCUCUUGGUUCUGGCAUCGAUGAAGAACGCAGCGAAAUGCGAUAAGUAAUGUGAAUUGCAGAAUUCAGUGAAUCAUCGAAUCUUUGAACGCACAUUGCGCCCUCUGGUAUUCCGGAGGGCAUGCCUGUUCGAGCGUCAUUACAACCCUCAAG